rnacentral:rRNA from 1 species
AGUGAACGCUGGCGGUAUGCCUAACACAUGCAAGUCGAACGGCAGCGCAGUGAUAGCUGGCUCGUACGGGGGGCGAGUGGCGGACGGGUGGGGAAUACAUCGCAAUCUACUUUUUCGUGGGGGAUGACGUAGGGAAACUUACGCUAAUACCGCAGACGACCUCCGGGUGAAAGCAGGGGAUCUUCGGACCUUUCGCGAUUGAAUGAGCCGAUGUGGGAUUAGAUAGUUGGCGGGGUAAAGGCCGACGAAGGCGAGGAUCCGUAGCUGGUGGGAGAGGAGGAUAACCCGCCCGAGAACUUGGCCACGGUCCAGAGUACUGAGGGAGGCACCAGUGGGGAACAUUGGACAAUGGGCGGAAGCCUGAUCCAGCCAUAGCGAGUCGGUGAAGACGGCGUUCGGGUUGUGAAGACGUUCUGUUGGGAAAGAAACGCAGCAGGUUAAUAACCAGCUGUUCUGACGGUACCCAAAGAAUAAGCACCGGCUAACUUCGUG